AGCAGUAGCCGCGGGAAUACGAGGGGAGCAAGCGUUGUUCGGAAUUAUUGGGCGUAAAGGGCGCGUAGGCGGUUUGACAAGUCUUGUGUGAAAUCUCCGGGCUCAACCCGAAGCCUGCACGAGAAACUACCGGGCUUGAGUAUUGGAGAGGUGAGUGGAAUUUCCGGUGUAGCGGUGAAAUGCGUUGAUAUCGGAAGGAACACCUGUGGCGAAAGCGGCUCACUGGACAAUAACUGACGCUGAGGCACGAAAGCUAGGGGAGCAAACAGGAUUAGAUACCCCGGUAGUCCCUGUCUCUUAUAA
rnacentral:rRNA from 1 species